GAUGAACGCUAGCGGCAGGCUUAAUACAUGCAAGUCGAACGGGAUUGAGAAGCUUGCUUUUCAUGAGAGUGGCGCACGGGUGCGUAACACGUAUGCAACCUACCUUGUCCAGGGGGAUAGCCCGUUGAAAGACGGAUUAAGACCGCAUAACAUUGAGCUGUGGCAUCACAAAUCAAUCAAAUAUUUAUAGGGACAAGAUGGGCAUGCGCCUGAUUAGGUAGUUGGCGGGGUAAUGGCCCACCAAGCCGACGAUCAGUAGGGGAUCUGAGAGGAUGACCCCACACACUGGUACUGAGAAACGGACCAGACUCCUACGGGAGGCAGCAGUAAGGAAUAUUGGUCAAUGGGCGAAAGCCUGAACCAGCCAUGCCGCGUGCAGGAAGACGGCCCUACGGGUUGUAAACUGCUUUUAUACGGGAAUAACCCCGGUUUCGUGAAACCGGCUGAAUGUACCGUAAGAAUAAGGAUCGGCUAACUCCGUGCCAGCCGCCGCCGUAA
rnacentral:rRNA from 1 species